GACGAAGGAUGCAAGCGUUAUCCGGAUUCAUUGGGUUUAAAGGGCGCGUAGGUGGACUGAUAAGUCAGUGGUGAAAUCUUUGGGCUUAACCCAAAAAUUGCCAUUGAUACUGUUGGUCUUGAGGCAUCUAGAGGUAACUGGAACAAACGGUGGAGCGGUGAAAUGCGUAGAUAUCGUUUGGAACGCCCAAGGUGAAAACAGGUUACUGGGGAUGUACUGACGCUGAGACACGAAAGCCAGGGGAGCAAACGGG
rnacentral:rRNA from 1 species